rnacentral:rRNA from 1 species
GCAAGUCGAGCGAACGGACGAGAAGCUUGCUUCUCUGAUGUUAGCGGCGGACGGGUGAGUAACACGUGGAUAACCUACCUAUAAGACUGGGAUAACUUCGGGAAACCGGAGCUAAUACCGGAUAAUAUUUUGAACCGCAUGGUUCAAAAGUAAAAGACGGUCUUGCUGUCACUUAUAGAUGGAUCCGCGCUGCAUUAGCUAGUUGGUAAGGUAACGGCUUACCAAGGCAACGAUGCCAUAGCCGACCUGAGAGGGUGAUCGGCCACACUGGAACUGAGACACGGUCCAGACUCCUACGGGAGGCAGCAGUAGGGAAUCUUCCGCAAUGGGCGAAAGCCUGACGGAGCAACGCCGCGUGAGUGAUGAAGGUCUUCGGAUCGUAAAACUCUGUUAUUAGGGAAGAACAUAUGUGUAAGUAACUGUGCACAUCUUGACGGUACCUAAUCAGAAAGCCACGGCUAACUACGUGCCAGCAGCCGCGGUAAUACGUAGGUGGCAAGCGUUAUCCGGAAUUAUUGGGCGUAAAGCGCGCGUAGGCGGUUUUUUAAGUCUGAUGUGAAAGCCCACGGCUCAACCGUGGAGGGUCAUUGGAAACUGGAAAACUUGAGUGCAGAAGAGGAAAGUGGAAUUCCAUGUGUAGCGGUGAAAUGCGCAGAGAUAUGGAGGAACACCAGUGGCGAAGGCGACUUUCUGGUCUGUAACUGACGCUGAUGUGCGAAAGCGUGGGGA